rnacentral:rRNA from 1 species
UACAGAGGUCUCGAGCGUUAGUCGGAGUCACUGGGCUUAAAGCGUACGUAGGCUGGCGCGCAGGCGUCGUGUGAAAGCCCUCAGCUCAACUGAGGAACUGCACGGCGAACCGCGCGUCUUGAGACAAGUAGGGGCGGUCGGAACGAUAGGUGGAGUGGUGAAAUGCGUUGAUAUCUAUCGGAAUGCCGAAGGAGAAAUCAGGCCGCUGGGCUUGUUCUGACGCUGAGGUACGAAAGCUAGGGGAGCAAACGGG